AGUGGGUGGUGUCCUGAGGAAUUGGGGUCGACUGGACUUCGGGCCUGGAGUUUGGCAUUUCCGCCCACGUGGGAAGCUGCUGUGUAGAUCCAGCUUGAAUUUCAAGUGCGAGAGAGUCCUGGAUCGCGAGUGAUGGGUCCGGCGCCAGCUGGAAAGCAGCUGCGCGGAGCGACUGGAGGGCCAGAGGUGAUGGAACCAGCCCUGGAAGGCAAAAGCAAAGAGGGGAAGAAGGCAUCCUCUAGGAAGCGUACACUGGCUGAGCCUCCUGAGAAGGGCCUCCUGCAGCCAGUGAAGCUCAGCCGGGCAGAACUGUACAAGGAGCCUACCAAUGAAGAGCUUAAUCGCCUUCGGGAGACUGAGAUCUUGUUCCACUCCAGCUUGCUUCGUUUACAGGUAGAGGAGCUACUAAAGGAAGUAAAGCUGUCAGAAAAGAAGAAGGAUCGGAUUGAUGCCUUCCUACAGGAGGUCAACCAGCGGGUCAUGAGGGUGCCCUCAGUCCCUGAGACAGAGCUCACUGACCAGGCAUGGCUCCCAGCUGGGGUUCGAGUACCCCUCCACCAAGUGCCCUAUGCCGUGAAGGGCUGUUUCCGCUUCCUGCCCCCAGCCCAGGUUGUUGUUGUGGGCAGCUACCUUCUGGGCACCUGCAUCAGGCCAGACGUCAAUGUGGAUGUGGCACUGACCAUGCCCAGGGAAAUCCUACAGGACAAGGACGGGCUGAACCAGCGCUACUUCCGCAAGCGUGCCCUCUACUUGGCCCACUUGGCUUACCACCUGGCCCAGGACCCCCUCUUUGGCAGUGUUCGCUUCUCCUACACCAAUGGCUGCCACCUGAAACCUUCACUGUUGCUGCGGCCACGUGGGAAGGAUGAGCGCCUGGUCACUGUACGUCUGCAUCCGUGCCCUCCACCUGACUUCUUCCGUCCGUGCCGCUUGCUGCCAACCAAGAACAAUGUGCGCUCUGCCUGGUACCGAGCGCAGAGUGCUGCAGGGGAUGGUAGCCCAGAGCCCCCUACCCCCCACUACAACACGUGGGUCCUGCAGGAUACAGCUCUCGAGUCCCAUUUGCAGCUCCUGUCAACCACGCUGGGUUCAGCUCAGGGCCUGAAGGAUGGCGUGGCACUUCUGAAGGUCUGGCUGCGGCAGCGGGAGCUGGAUAAGGGCAAGGGUGGGCUUACUGGGUUCCUUGUCUCCAUGCUGGUUGUCUUCCUUGUGUCUACACGCAAGAUCCAUACCACCAUGAGUGGCUACCAGGUCCUGAGAAGUGUCUUGCAGUUUCUGGCCACUACAGACCUGACAGUCAACGGGAUCAGUUUAUGUCUCAGCUCAGAUCCCUCUUUGCCGGCCCUGGCUGACUUCCACCAGGCCUUCUCCGUUGUCUUCCUGGACUCCUCAGGCCGCCUCAACCUCUGUGCUGAUGUCACUGCCUGUACUUACCACCAGGUGCAGCACGAGGCACAGCUGUCUAUGAUGUUGCUGGACAGCAAAGCUGACGACGGGUUCCAGCUGCUGUUGAUGACUCCCAAACCCAUGAUCCGGGCCUUUGACCACAUCCUGCAUCUUCGUCCACUGAGUCGCCUGCAGGCAGCAUGCCACCGGCUGAAGCUCUGGCCAGAGCUGCAGGACAAUGGUGGGGACUAUGUCUCAGCUGCUUUGGACCCCCUGAUCACCCUCCUGGAGCAGGGCCUGGGGACGCGGCUGCACCUGCUGGCUCACUCUCGGCCCCCAGUCCCAGAGUGGGACAUCAGCCAAGAUCCACCAAAGCACAAAGACUCUGGGACCCUGACCCUGGGACUCCUUCUCCGGCCUGAGGGACUGACCAGCAUCCUUGAGCUGGGUCCAGAGGCAGACCAGCCUGAGGCUGCUGAAUUCCGCCAGUUCUGGGGAUCCCGCUCGGAGCUUCGGCGUUUCCAGGACGGAGCCAUCCGGGAAGCUGUGGUCUGGGAGGCAGCCUCUAUGUCCCAGAAGCGCCUUAUUCCCCACCAGGUGGUCACUCACCUCCUGGCACUCCAUGCUGACAUCCCAGAAACCUGUGUUCACUAUGUGGGGGGUCCCCUGGAGGCACUUAUCCAAGGCCUGAAAGAGACCUCCAGCACAGGUGAGGAGGCCCUGGCAGUGGCAGUACGUUGCUACGAUGACCUCAGUCGCCUACUGUGGGGACUGGAGGGUCUCCCACUGACCGUGUCUGCUGUUCAGGGAGCUCAUCCAGUGCUGCGCUACACAGAGGUGUUCCCACCAACUCCAGUCCGACCAGCCUUCUCCUUCUAUGAGCCUCUGCAAGAGCGGUCCUCACUGUUGCCCCGGCCUGAUAAGCCCUGUCCAGCCUACGUGGAGCCCAUGCCCGUGGUUUGUCACCUGGAGGGCAGUGGCCAGUGGCCACAGGAUGCUGAGGCCGUGCGGCGGGUGCGAGCUGCCUUCCAGCUGCGCCUGGCAGAGCUGCUGACGCAACAGCAUGGUCUGCAGUGCCGUGCCACUGCCACGCACACGGAUGUCCUCAAGGAUGGAUUUGUGUUUCGGAUUCGUGUGGCCUAUCAUCGGGAGCCCCAGAUCCUGAGGGAGGUGCAGAGCCCAGAGGGGUUGAACUCGCUCAGAGACACACCUGCCUCCCUCUGCCUUGAGAGAGACACAAGGCAGUUGCCACUGCUCACCAGUGUCCUGCAUGGACUGCAGCAGCAGCACCCAGCCUUCUCUGGUGUGGCGCGGCUGGCCAAGCGAUGGGUGCGUGCCCAGCUUCUUGGUGAGGGGUUCACUGACGAGAGCCUGGAUCUGGUGGCUGCUGCCCUUUUCCUGCACCCUGAGCCCUUCACCCCUCCCAGCCCUUUAGUUCCCCCCAGGUUGGCUUCCUUCGAUUCCUUUUCCUGGUAUCAACGUUUGAUUGGAAGAACAACCCCCUUAUUGUCAAUCUCAACAAUGAGCUCACUGUGGAGGAGCAGGUGGAGAUCCGAAGUGGCUUCCUGGCGGCUCGGGCACAACUCCCCGUCAUGGUCAUUGUUACCCCCCAAGACCGCAAAAAUUCUGUGUGGACACAGGAUGGACCCUCGGCCCAGAUCCUGCAGCAGCUUGUGGUCCUGGCAGCGGAAGCCCUGCCUGUGUUAGAGAAGCAGCUCAUGGAUCCCCGGGGGCCUGGGGACAUCAGGACAGUGUUUCGGCCACCCUUGGACAUUUACGAUGUGCUGAUUUGCCUGUCUCCCCGCCACAUCCCGCGGCACCGCCAGGCCGUGGACUCACCAGCCGCCUCCUUCUGCCGGGGCCUGCGCAGAGAGCCAGGGCCCUCAUCCCUGAUGCCCGUGCUGGGCUACGAUCCUCCUCAGCUCUAUCUGAUGCAGCUCAGGGAGGCCUUUGGGGAUCUGGCCCUUUUCUUCUAUGACCAGCAUGGUGGAGAGGUGAUUGGUGUCCUCUGGAAACCCACCAGCUUCCAGCCCCAGCCCUUCAAGGCCUCCGGCACAAAGGGGCGCAUGGUGAUGUUUCAAGGUGGAGAGCCGGUAAUGGUGCCCAAUGUAGAAGCAAUCCUGGAGGACUUUGCUGUGCUGGGUGAAGGCCUGGUGCAGACUGUGGAGGCCCGAAGUGAGAGGUGGACUGUGUGAUCCCAGCCCUGGAGCAAGCUGGAGAUGGCCAGCAGGACCUUGGACCUCUAGAGCAAGAUGUCAGUGGGCCAACCUCCACUCCUCCUGGACACGAAUCCUUCAUGGAGGGCCUGCUGGCUGAACACGCUGAAUCAUCUGCAGCAAAGCCCAGCCCCAAUUUUUUCUAUGAUGCUUGAGCAUUGGGGCAGGGGCAUGGUUGCCCAUGUCGUCUCUUGGGCCCGACCAUCCUAGAAGAGGAGUAGGAACCGGCUCAGAGAAAGAACUGAACCCAGGAGAUUCAUCCAGGUGGAUGAAUCUAUUAGCCCUGGGCCUAGACCUGCCCCCAGUUUCCCACUCCUUUCUUAGUCUUCUUCUAGAAACAGAGAAGGGGGCGUGUGCCUGGGAGAGUCUCUGUCUUUUUCCUACUGCCAGGACCUGUGCCUGGACUUCAGUCUGCCCUUCACUGCGAUGUUAGGCCUUUAGAUGGGACCCAGAGAAAAUGUGUCCCUUCCACCGACACUGAGCAGUGGAAAGGGGCUAUAUGUGUAUGAAUAGACUGCAGUGAAGGAGCACAAUGCCCUCCUGUGUUGGUGCCACUUCUCAGGGUGGAGACAGUGGAAACGAACUGAGGACAGGAAGGGCUGGGUAGGUGAAGGGAUCGGGGGACUGGCAGUCCCCCAGUCUUGGAGAGGUGCAAAAAGCACUGGGUUGCAUCUGCCCUGGCUGUUUGCCCUUUCAUGUCACAAACUGCCACUACUAUGCACCAGCAGUGGGGUUGCAGAGAUGAAGGAGACUAAGUCUUCCUCCCCAGGAGCUCCCAGGGCCUGAGGAGGAGAAUGCUCCCUCCUUUCAGUCUUGUCUGCACCCCCUUUCUGGCAGCCUCUCUGCUUCCCCUAAUUCCGGCUGUUUUUCCAGACUCAGCUCAAAUAGUGCCCCUCCUUAAGCCCAUCCCUUGCCCCGAGCCUGAGGUGAUCUUUCCCUCCUCUGAACUAUUAGAGCAGUUACUGUGUGUUCAGUUCGCUUGGCAGGCACACACAGUGGCAUAAAUUAAAUUGUUUCGAACCCUGAUUUAAAUUGCAGCUGGGUGUGGUGGCUCAUGCUUGUAAUCUCAACACUUAGGGAGACAGGAGGCUCCCUUGAACCCAGGAGUUCUAGACCAGUCUGGGCAACAUAGCGAGAUCCUAUCUUUUUUAAAUAAAAAGUUAAAUUGCUUAAUUUCCCCCAUGUUCCUGGCCUGUCUCCUCCCUUUACAUAGUUUUGACCUGGUUUCCUGUAUGUAAACUCCUUGAGGGCAGGGAACAUGUUUGAACAUAGAUUUCUUCAUGUCCUUCCUAGCACUUAUUACAGUGCUUUGCUCAGGCCAUCCGGCACAGGCAGGUGGAGGGCAGGGAAGCCCACUCUGGAAGAUUGCAAAGUAAAGGGAAUCUAUUUGUGAACCCUGCCUGGAACAAGUGGGUGGUGAUGGUGAAAGAGAAAGCCUAAGAGAUAAUAGAGCUGAUGUUUAUUGAGUGCCUAACAGGGGGCCAGGUGGGGUUAGGUGGUGGUAUCCGUAUCUUAUGUGUGGAAAUUUGGUCAUACAGUCUCACGAGCCCUAUGGAGUAGGUGCUUUUAUUUACCUUUAUUUUCUGAGUGGGAACAGGCUCAGUGCAGGGGCCUGUCAUGGAGGAACUUUGAUGCCUGGCUAGCAAGCUCUGUCCUCAAGAUGAGAAGCUGCAUGUGGGAACUCUGGCCUCCAGUUCUGGCUUAACUGUUGGUCUUUGUGAAUCUCUGCUUGCCCCUAGUCACUGCCAUGGAGCAGCUCAGACCAGGGUUGAAAUUAGAAUAGGGAGGGAAUAAAUUGGCUGGUUGUGUGAGCUGGAGUC